rfam:Oryzias latipes DNA, chromosome13, strain: Hd-rR.
UCCUCGUUAGUAUAGUGGUCAGUAUCCCCGCCUGUUACGCGGGAGACCGGGGUUCAAUUCCCCGACGGGGAG